rnacentral:rRNA from 1 species
GACGAACGCUGGCGGCGUGCUUAACACAUGCAAGUCGAACGGUAAGGCCCUUCGGGGUACACGAGUGGCGAACGGGUGAGUAACACGUGGGUGAUCUGCCCUGCACUUCGGGAUAAGACUGGGAAACUGGGUCUAAUACCGGAUAGGACCACUGCCUGCAUGGGUGGUGGUGGAAAGCUUUUGCGGUGUGGGAUGGGCCCGCGGCCUAUCAGCUUGUUGGUGGGGUGAUGGCCUACCAAGGCGACGACGGGUAGCCGGCCUGAGAGGGUGACCGGCCACACUGGGACUGAGAUACGGCCCAGACUCCUACGGGAGGCAGCAGUGGGGAAUAUUGCAUAAUGGGCGCAAGCCUGAUGCAGCGACGCCGCGUGAGGGAUGACGGCCUUCGGGUUGUAAACCUCUUUCAGCACCGACGAAGCGCAAGUGACGGUAGGUGCAGAAGAAGGACCGGCCAACUACGUGCCAGCAGCCGCCGCAG